rnacentral:rRNA from 1 species
GGCUAAUUAAGUCAAAUGUGAAAUCCCCGAGCUUAACUUGGGAAUUGCAUUCGAUACUGGUUAGCUAGAGUAUGGGAGAGGAUGGUAGAAUUCCAGGUGUAGCGGUGAAAUGCGUAGAGAUCUGGAGGAAUACCGAUGGCGAAGGCAGCCAUCUGGCCUAAUACUGACACUGAGGUGCGAAAGCAUGGGGAGCAAACAGGAUUAGAUACCCUGGUAGUCCAUGCCGUAAACGAUGUCUACUAGCCGUUGGGGGAUUUGAUCCUUUAGUGGCGCAGCUAACGCGAUAAGUAGACCGCCUGGGGAGUACGGUCGCAAGACUAAAACUCAAAUGAAUUGACGGGGGCCCGCACAAGCGGUGGAGCAUGUGGUUUAAUUCGAUGCAACGCGAAGAACCUUACCUGGCCUUGACAUAGUAGAGACUUUCCAGAGAUGGAUUGGUGCCUUCGGGAAUCUACAUACAGGUGCUGCAUGGCUGUCGUCAGCUCGUGUCGUGAGAUGUUGGGUUAAGUCCCGCAACGAGCGCAACCCUUUUCCUUACUUGCCAGCAUUUCGGAUGGGAACUUUAAGGAUACUGCCAGUGACAAACUGGAGGAAGGCGGGGACGACGUCAAGUCAUCAUGGCCCUUACGGCCAGGGCUACACACGUGCUACAAUGGUCGGUACAAAGGGUUGCUACACAGCGAUGUGAUGCUAAUCUCAAAAAGCCGAUCGUAGUCCGGAUCGCAGUCUGCAACUCGAGUGCGUGAAGUCGGAAU